rnacentral:rRNA from 1 species
CCCUUAGAUGUUUUGGGCAGCACGCGCGCUACAAUGGUCUUCGCAAACGGAUGCAUUCUCGAAGGAGAAUGCCAAUCUUGGAAUCUAUGCCUUGGUCGGGACAGUUGCUUGCAAUUUUUCGACUCGAACCAGGAAUUCCUUGUAAUCGUGAUUCAUCACAUCACGAUGAAUACGUCCCUGCCCUUUGUACACACCGCCCGUCGCUCCUACCGAUCGAAGAGUUAGGUGAAUUGUUUUGAUCGAUAAGAUUUGACUAUGGUCAACUCUCGUUGUGAAAUUCUGUGAAUCUGACUGUUUAGAGGAAGGAAAAGUCGUAACA